ensembl:lncRNA
GGGGAGGAUCACCUGGGACAAGCACUGUGGAGGCAUAACUUUGAGCCUCUCCAGCACCUCCAGGCUGAAGUGAAACAAGGAUGCUAACACACAAUGCAAAGGGAGAAGUCAGCACGGGAGAAAAGUUCAAUUUUCAAGCCAUAAUUGGAGAUGGAAGAAAAAGAAAGGAACACCCACCUCUCAUUGGUAUAUGGAAUGACUGACUCCAGUUCUCACUAUUCUGGAAAUUCUGAAUAUCCCACCCUUUUGUCUCAGUGGACAGUAUUUGUUACCCACCCCUGGCUUUGCUACAAGUUGCACUGUCUUGCCCUGCCAGUGGAGUGUGGAGGUGGCAUGGCACCAGAUCAGGGCCUCGGUGCUUCCAUUUGUCUCUCUAGGAGUGCCUGUCCAAAGGACUAAUCCAAGGUAGCUGCUGCCCAUCUGGCCACGUGAAGUGGAUCUGCACACGUAAACCUGCAGCCUGAAGGAGACCCAGCCCAGGAGACCCACAGACCUGGGAGUCUGACAGUAAAUGCCUAUUGUAGAA